rnacentral:tRNA from 1 species
GUAUAGCUCAGUGGUAGAGCAUAUGCUUAGCAUGCAAGAGGUCCUGGGUUCAAUCCUCAGUAC